AUACGUAGGGGGCGAGCGUUGUCCGGAAUGACUGGGCGUAAAGGGCGUGUAGGCGGCUGGAUAAGUCUGGAGUGAAAGUCCUGCAUUCAAUGUGGGAAUUGCUUUGGAGACUGUCUGGCUUGAGUGCGGAAGAGGUAAGUGGAAUUCCCAGUGUAGCGGUGAAAUGCGUAGAGAUUGGGAGGAACACCAGUGGCGAAGGCGACUUACUGGGCCGUAACUGACGCUGAGGCGCGAAAGCGUGGGGAGCGAACAGGAUUAGAUACCCUGGUAGUCCACACUGUAAACGAUGAAUGCUAGGUGUAAGAGGUAUCGACCCCUUUUGUGCCGGAGUCAACACAAUAAGCAUUCCGCCUGGGGAGUACGGCCGCAAGGUUGAAACUCAAAUGAAUUGACGGGG
rnacentral:rRNA from 1 species